rnacentral:tRNA from 1 species
GAGAGUAUAGUUCAGUGUUAGAGUGCAUGCUUAGCACGCAUGAAGUCCUGGGUUCAAUCCCCAGUACCUCCA